GCUCUGCGAGUUUGCUCCCAUAUUGUUGCAGUUAAAACGCCCGUAGUCUGAAUUUCCCUGUUAUGGGGAUUACGUUAUUUAUAUAACGUUCACUGUGAACAAAUCAGGACGCUUAGUGUAUGGCAUCAGGAAUGACUUAGCGCAGUAUGAUAUCUUUACCUUUGGUAAGAUCAAUGAGAGCCACCGGGGGUAGAUCUAUUUCAUGGCGAGCNGUGGAAUGCUUUGACCCAUGAGAGAGAAACGAAGGCNAAGGCAUCUACCUAGAGGGUUUCUGUCGNUCAAGGGNNNGNGUAGGAGUAUCCAACCGGAUUAGAGACCCGGGUAGUUCCUACCUUAAACGAUGCCGACAGGGGCUUGUCCUUUUAUUGGGGCAGGNCCUUAGGAGAAAUCAUAGUUCUUGGGCUCUGGGGGAACUACGACNGCAAGGCUGAAACUUGAAGGAAUUGACGGAAGGGCACACCAGGGGUGGAGCUUGUGGCUUAAUUUGAAUCAACACGGGAAACUUACCAGGACCAGAUGUUUUUAAGGACUGACAGGCUUCGGGUCUUUCAGGAUAUGAUUUUUGGUGGUGCAUGGCCGUUGGUGGUGCGUGGGUUGACCUGUCUAGCGUUGAUUCAGAUAACGAGCGAGAUUAUCGCCAAUUAUAUACAAAGCAUUUUUUAAAAUGUCUUUGUUCUAAUUGGGACUCCCUGCGAUUAAGCAGGCGGAAGAGGGUAGCAAUAACAGGNCNGUGAUGUCCUUUAGAUGCUCUGGGCUGCANGNGNGCUACAAUGUUAGGAUCAAAGGGAUGCAAAGCCGAAAGGCAGCGCUACUCUGUCAAUACCUAACGUAGUUGGGAUUGAUGGUUGUAAUCACCAUCAUGAACCAGGAAUCCCUUGUAAUUGCGUGUCAACAGCGNGNGUUGAAUACGUCCCUGCCCUUUG
rnacentral:rRNA from 1 species